rnacentral:rRNA from 1 species
AUACGUAGGGGGCAAGCGUUAUCCGGAAUCAUUGGGCGUAAAGGGUGCGUAGGCGGCCCUAUGGGUCAGAGGUUAAAGGCUACGGCUCAACCGUAGUAAGCCUUUGAAACUGUAGGGCUUGAGUGCAGGAGAGGAGAGUGGAAUUCCUAGUGUAGCGGUGAAAUGCGUAGAUAUUAGGAGGAACACCGGUGGCGAAGGCGACUCUCUGGACUGUAACUGACGCUGAGGCACGAAAGCGUGGGUAGCGAACAGGAUUAGAUACCCUGGUAGUCCACGCCGUAAACGAUGAGUGCUAGGUGUUGGGGGUCAAACCUCGGUGCCGCAGUUAACGCAUUAAGCACUCCGCCUGGGGAGUACGUACGCAAGUAUGAA